GGGGUUGAGGCUCAGAGGUAGAGUGCUCGCCUAGCAUGUGUGAGGCCCUGAGUUCGAGCCUCAGCACCA
rnacentral:tRNA from 1 species